UACGGGGGGGGGCAAGCGUUGUUCGGAAUUACUGGGCGUAAAGGGCGCGUAGGCGGCCUGCUAAGUCGGAUGUGAAAUCCCUCGGCUCAACCGAGGAACUGCAUCCGAUACUGGCGGGCUUGAAUCCGGGAGAGGGAUGUGGAAUUCCAGGUGUAGCGGUGAAAAUGCGUAGAUAUCUGGAGGAACACCGGUGGCGAAGGCGGCAUCCUGGACCGGUAUUGACGCUGAGGCGGCGAAAAGCUAGGGGGAGCAAACGGGG
rnacentral:rRNA from 1 species